UGGGGAAUAUUGCACAAUGGGCGCAAGCCUGAUGCAGCCAUGCCGCGUGUAUGAAGAAGGCCUUCGGGUUGUAAAGUACUUUCAGCGGGGAGGAAGGGAGUAAAGUUAAUACCUUUGCUCAUUGACGUUACCCGCAGAAGAAGCACCGGCUAACUCCGUGCCAGCAGCCGCGGUAAUACGGAGGGUGCAAGCGUUAAUCGGAAUUACUGGGCGUAAAGCGCACGCAGGCGGUUGAUUGAGUCAGAUGUGAAAUCCCCGGGCUUAACCCGGGAAUUGCAUCUGAUACUGGCAAGCUUGAGUCUCGUAGAGGGGGGUAGAAUUCCAGGUGUAGCGGUGAAAUGCGUAACGAUCUGGAGGAAUACCGGUGGCGAAGGCGGCCCCCUGGACGAAGACUGACGCUCAGGUGCGAAAGCGUGGGGAGCAAACAGG
rnacentral:rRNA from 1 species